GGGGGAUUAGCUCAGCUGGGAGAGCACCUGCUUUGCAAGCAGGGGGUCGUCG
rnacentral:tRNA from 1 species